CCUACGUGAGGCAGCAGUGGGGAAUAUUGCACAAUGGGGGAAACCCUGAUGCAGCGACGCCGCGUGAGUGAAGAAGUAAUUCGUUAUGUAAAGCUCUAUCAGCAGGGAAGAAAAUGACGGUACCUGAGUAAGAAGCCCCGGCUAACUACGUGCCAGCAGCCGCGGUAAUACGUAGGGGGCAAGCGUUAUCCGGAUUUACUGGGUGUAAAGGGAGCGUAGACGGCAGUGCAAGUCUGGAGUGAAAGGCGGGGGCUCAACCCCCGGACUGCUCUGGAAACUGUACGGCUGGAGGGCAGGAGAGGUAAGUGGAACUCCUAGUGUGGCGGUGAAAUGCGUAGAUAUUAGGAGGAACACCAGUGGCGAAGGCGGCUUACUGGACUGUAACUGACGUUGAGGCUCGAAAGCGUGGGGAGCAAACAGGAUUAGAUACCCCGGUAGUC
rnacentral:rRNA from 1 species